UCCACCCUUUCCCAGACUUCAUUUCAGGGUUAGCUACGGAGGUGAGGGGAUCUUGCUGGUAGUCCCUACAUACUUGAGGCCUUCCAAAGAUGGCACGUGAGCACGCAUGGUUAUGGCACAGCAUGGGCACUGUGAAGCUACAGGAUGUCAGACUAAGCACAUGCUGCUGCUGCUUAGGAAAGGACAGCCUUGGCAUCACUGAAUUUUGGAGAGACACUGUUAUUCUCCAUGCACCUUGUCCUUGUGAAAAUACUCACUGUUAGCUGUAUCUUCUGGGCUGCCACAGUUCGGGAUCAGCUUAUGAAAGCCAUCAGCAGAUAUACUGGUGAGUUAAGCCAUACUGAGCCCUACUGAUUUUGAGAGGAGGAUAUGGCUUUCAGCAGCAGCCCAUGGCUCCUGGACUUCUCAUAGUGUGAUGGGCUUCCAGAGUUCCUGGUGUUCACACCCUGUGCAUCUGAGAGGUAUC